rnacentral:rRNA from 1 species
GAUGAACGCUGGCGGCGUGCCUAAUACAUGCAAGUCGAGCGAACAGACGAGGAGCUUGCUCCUCUGACGUUAGCGGCGGACGGGUGAGUAACACGUGGAUAACCUACCUAUAAGACUGGGAUAACUUCGGGAAACCGGAGCUAAUACCGGAUAAUAUAUUGAACCGCAUGGUUCAAUAGUGAAAGACGGUUUUGCUGUCACUUAUAGAUGGAUCCGCGCCGCAUUAGCUAGUUGGUAAGGUAACGGCUUACCAAGGCAACGAUGCGUAGCCGACCUGAGAGGGUGAUCGGCCACACUGGAACUGAGCCACGGUCCAGACUCCUACGGGAGGCAGCAGUAGGGAAUCUUCCGCAAUGGGCGAAAGCCUGACGGAGCAACGCCGCGUGAGUGAUGAAGGUCUUCGGAUCGUAAAACUCUGUUAUUAGGGAAGAACAAAUGCGUAAGUAACUAUGCACGUCUUGACGGUACCUAAUCAGAAAGCCACGGCUAACUACGUG